rnacentral:tRNA from 1 species
UUAAUUGAAACCAAAAAUUUUGAGGUAUAUUAUUGUUAAUAAUUUCAUUGAACUUUAGUUCCAAUUAAA